rnacentral:siRNA from 1 species
UUAUUACCGGUGUGGUUUAGCUGC